ACGUUGGUAGUCUCGUAUGGAGCGAGAAUAGUCUCCAAAACUAUUGGCUUUGCCCUUGUAGGUUCGAUUCCUGCCCUUCGUG
rnacentral:tRNA from 1 species